rnacentral:rRNA from 1 species
UACGUAGGGGGCGAGCGUUGUCCGGAGUUACUGGGCGUAAAGCGCUUGUAGGCGGUCCACCAAGUUUGGGGUGACAGUUGCCGACCUAAUCGGCAAAGUGCCUCAAAGACUGGCGGACUUGAGGGCCACAGAGGGACAUGGAACUCCAGGUGUAGUGGUGAAAUGCGUAGAUAUCUGGAAGAACACCAAAGGCGAAGGCAGUGUCCUGGGUGGUCGCUGACGCUGAGAGGCGAAAGCCAGGGGAGCGAACGGG